UACGGGGGGGGCUAGCGUUGUUCGGAAUUACUGGGCGUAAAGGGCGCGUAGGCGGUCUGCUAAGUUGGAUGUGAAAACUCUGGGCUUAACCCAGAGCCUGCAUUCAAUACCGACAGGCUAGAGUUCUGGAGGGGAUAGCGGAAUUCCUGGUGUAGCGGUGAAAUGCGUAGAUAUCAGGAGGAACACCGGUGGCGAAGGCGGCUAUCUGGACAGAGUCUGACGCUGAGGCGCGAAAGCUAGGGGAGCAAACAGG
rnacentral:rRNA from 1 species